rnacentral:rRNA from 2 species
UCCAGACUUUGAUUCUGGCUCAGGACGAACGCUGGCGUCGUGCCUAAUAUAUGCAAGUAGAACGCUGAAGAGAGGAGCUUGCUCUUCUUGGAUGAGUUGCGAACGGGUGAGUAACGCGUAGGUAACCUGCCUUGUAGCGGGGGAUAACUAUUGGAAACGAUAGCUAAUACCGCAUAACAAUGGAUGACUCAUGUCAUUUAUUUGAAAGGGGCAAAUGCUCCACUACAAGAUGGACCUGCGUUGUAUUAGCUAGUAGGUGAGGUAACGGCUCACCUAGGCGACGAUACAUAGCCGACCUGAGAGGGUGAUCGGCCACACUGGGACUGAGACACGGCCCAGACUCCUACGGGAGGCAGCAGUAGGGAAUCUUCGGCAAUGGGGGCAACCCUGACCGAGCAACGCCGCGUGAGUGAAGAAGGUUUUCGGAUCGUAAAGCUCUGUUGUAAGUCAAGAACGAGUGUGAGAGUGGAAAGUUCACACUGUGACGGUAGCUUACCAGAAAGGGACGGCUAACUACGUGCCAGCAGCCGCGGUAAUACGUAGGUCCCGAGCGUUGUCCGGAUUUAUUGGGCGUAAAGCGAGCGCAGGCGGUUUGAUAAGUCUGAAGUUAAAGGCUGUGGCUCAACCAUAGCUCGCUUUGGAAACUGUCAAACUUGAGUGCAGAAGGGGAGAGUGGAAUUCCAUGUGUAGCGGUGAAAUGCGUAGAUAUAUGGAGGAACACCGGUGGCGAAAGCGGCUCUCUGGUCUGUAACUGACGCUGAGGCUCGAAAGCGUGGGGAGCGAACAGGAUUAGAUACCCUGGUAGUCCACGCCGUAAACGAUGAGUGCUAGGUGUUGGAUCCUUUCCGGGAUUCAGUGCCGCAGCUAACGCAUUAAGCACUCCGCCUGGGGAGUACGACCGCAAGGUUGCAACUCAAAGGAAUUGACGGA